GUCGAACGAACUCUGGUAUUGAUUGGUGCUUGCAUCAUGAUUUACAUUUGAGUGAGUGGCGAACUGGUGAGUAACACGUGGGAAACCUGCCCAGAAGCGGGGGAUAACACCUGGAAACAGAUGCUAAUACCGCAUAACAACUUGGACCGCAUGGUCCGAGUUUGAAAGAUGGCUUCGGCUAUCACUUUUGGAUGGUCCCGCGGCGUAUUAGCUAGAUGGUGGGGUAACGGCUCACCAUGGCAAUGAUACGUAGCCGACCUGAGAGGGUAAUCGGCCACAUUGGGACUGAGACACGGCCCAAACUCCUACGGGAGGCAGCAGUAGGGAAUCUUCCACAAUGGACGAAAGUCUGAUGGAGCAACGCCGCGUGAGUGAAGAAGGGUUUCGGCUCGUAAAACUCUGUUGUUAAAGAAGAACAUAUCUGAGAGUAACUGUUCAGGUAUUGACGGUAUUUAACCAGAAAGCCACGGCUAACUACGUGCCAGCAGCCGCGGUAAUACGUAGGUGGCAAGCGUUGUCCGGAUUUAUUGGGCGUAAAGCGAGCGCAGGCGGUUUUUUAAGUCUGAUGUGAAAGCCUUCGGCUCAACCGAAGAAGUGCAUCGGAAACUGGGAAACUUGAGUGCAGAAGAGGACAGUGGAACUCCAUGUGUAGCGGUGAAAUGCGUAGAUAUAUGGAAGAACACCAGUGGCGAAGGCGGCUGUCUGGUCUGUAACUGACGCUGAGGCUCGAAAGUAUGGGUAGCAAACAGGAUUAGAUACCCUGGUAGUCCAUACCGUAAACGAUGAAUGCUAAGUGUUGGAGGGUUUCCGCCCUUCAGUGCUGCAGCUAACGCAUUAAGCAUUCCGCCUGGGGAGUACGGCCGCAAGGCUGAAACUCAAAGGAAUUGACGGGGGCCCGCACAAGCGGUGGAGCAUGUGGUUUAAUUCGAAGCUACGCGAAGAACCUUACCAGGUCUUGACAUACUAUGCAAAUCUAAGAGAUUAGACGUUCCCUUCGGGGACAUGGAUACAGGUGGUGCAUGGUUGUCGUCAGCUCGUGUCGUGAGAUGUUGGGUUAAGUCCCGCAACGAGCGCAACCCUUAUUAUCAGUUGCCAGCAUUAAGUUGGGCACUCUGGUGAGACUGCCGGUGACAAACCGGAGGAAGGUGGGGAUGACGUCAAAUCAUCAUGCCCCUUAUGACCUGGGCUACACACGUGCUACAAUGGAUGGUACAACGAGUUGCGAACUCGCGAGAGUAAGCUAAUCUCUUAAAGCCAUUCUCAGUUCGGAUUGUAGGCUGCAACUCGCCUACAUGAAGUCGGAAUCGCUAGUAAUCGCGGAUCAGCAUGCCGCGGUGAAUACGUUCCCGGGCCUUGUACACACCGCCCGUCACACCAUGAGAGUUUGUAACACCCAAAGUCGGUGGGGUAACCUUUUAGGAACC
rnacentral:rRNA from 2 species